rnacentral:rRNA from 1 species
UACGUAGGGUGCAAGCGUUGUCCGGAAUUUAUUGGGCGUAAAGAGCUCGUAGGCGGUCUGUCGCGUCGGCUGUGAAAACCCGGAGCUCAACUCCGGGCCUGCAGUCGAUACGGGCAGACUGGAGUUCGGCAGGGGAGACUGGAAUUCCUGGUGUAGCGGUGAAAUGCGCAGAUAUCAGGAGGAACACCGGUGGCGAAGGCGGGUCUCUGGGCCGAUACUGACGCUGAGGAGCGAAAGCGUGGGGAGCGAACAGG